AUUCGACAUCGUGCUUAAUUUUAACUUAGAGGUGAUUGUCACCGAAGUUAAAGGACUAAAGUCGCUCGCAGCCAACCGGAUCGUCUACUGCACGAUGGAGGUCGAGGGCGGAGAAAAACUGCAAACGGAUAUGGCAGAAGCAGCAAAGCCCAUGUGGGAUACCCAAGGCGAUUUCACGACUUCGCACCCCUUACCCAUCGUAAAGGUCAAGUUAUACACAGAGAGCCCUGGUCUGCUCUCUUUGGAUGACAAGGAAUUAGGAAAAGUGCAAAUACGCCCUACACCGAUGGGAGGGAAGUGCGGCGCCGAGUGGUACCGAAUGCAGGCACCAAAAAAUGCCCCAGAUCAAGAUCUUCAGAUCCGGAUUACGAUACGUAUGGAGAGGCCGCAGAAUAUGAAACACGCCGGCUACCUUUACGCGCAAGGGCGGAACGUCUGGAAAAAAUGGAAGAAGCGAUACUUUGUGCUCGUCCAGGUUUCUCAGUACACUUUUGCCAUGUGCUCAUACCGAGAGAAGAGCUCGUCACCAAACGAACUAAUGCAGUUGGACGGCUACACGGUCGACUACACCCCCGAUGAAGCGGCGCCGCCCGGCGAGGGGGGGCGGUUCUUUUUCAAUGCGGUACGCGAGGGCGAUGCCGUGGCAUUCGGCUCCGUUGAAGAGGCCGAUUGCCACCUGUGGGUCCAGGCGCUUUACCGCGCAACCGGACAGGCUCACAAGCCGAGCCCGCCCACACGUGCCCACACAAGUCAACCGCCAACGGCCGCCCGAAACGCGCAUAUCACGCGCGUUCACGGCGACACCGAACGGGCGCGACGUCAUGGCAUGGAGGAGCUGAUCUCGGCUGAUCCCAACCGCUUCGACCACCACGCUUUGUUUCGACACCUGCAGACGCUCACCUUGGACUAUCGACUAGCCGACCCCUACUGCUCACUCGGCUGGUUCAGCGCGGGCCAACUCUUUGUCAUCGAUGAGUACACGGCUCGCUAUAUGGUGAGGUCCUGCUUUCGACACCUGUGCUACCUGAGCGACCUGCUUGAGAGGGCGGAACGAGGGAUAAUGAUCGAUCCCACACUCAUCCACUAUUCAUUUGCAUUCUGUUCAUCGCAUGUGCACGGAAAUAGCGUUGCACCCCCUGGAACAGUGGUUACUGAUAUCAGGGAAGCUGUGUUGGCCAUAGAGGAAAAGCCCGAUCAAGCGGGCACGUCGAGUACUGAACCCGAGUUCAAACCCGAUGGCAUCGGAACGGUCACUGUCGAGGAAAAAGACAUGUUUAAUAAUAUCAAGGACAGACUAAAAGUUCUCCUUGAACAUCAAAUCACCCACUUUAGAUACUGCUUCCCAUUCGGAAGACCUGAAGGUGCGUUGAAAGCGACGUUGUCUCUGCUGGAGCGGGUGUUGAUGCGGGACGUAAUGACGCCCGCGCCCCCUGAGGAGGUCCGUGGAAUAAUCAAGAAGUGCCUCGAGAAUGCCGCGCUCGUUAAUUACACGAAAAUAUCUGAGCAGGCGAAAAACAUGCCCAAAACAGCCGGCGGUAGCGAUCCGGCGCUCCGUCAGCAGCAUGAUGAAUAUGCGAUCAUGGACAUGGGCCAACCGCCGACCAAAAGGCUUGAGGACCUUAUUCACUUAGCAGAGCUCUGCGUCGACCUUCUGCAGCAAAACAAUGAACAUUACGCUGAGACCUUCCGCUCGGUGAGUGUCGCCCUCGACUGCAAAAAGUCCGGAAAAAACGUGGAUCGGGCAUUUGCGUGGUUCAGUGAUCUGCUCGUAGAACACGCCGAGAUCUUCUGGUCCUUAUUUGCCGUGGAUAUGGAUGCUGUGUUGGAGGACCAACCCGCGGACACCUGGGACUCCUUCCCCCUCUUCCAGGUUCUAAAUGAUUACCUUCGCAUGGACGAGAACCUGAGUGGAGGGCGAUUUCACCAACACCUACGGGACGCUUUCGCCCCGCAGGUGGUGCGAUACGUGGAUCUCAUGGAAGCUUCGAUAGCACAGUCCCUGCAAAAAGGCUUCGAAAAGGAGAAAUGGGAAGUCAAAGGUCAAGCUGGCUGUGCUACCUCGGAAGAAUUGUUCUGGAAACUGGGGGCCUUACAAAGUUUCAUACGCGAUCUUCACUGGCCGGACGCCGAGUUCGCGAAACAUCUGGAGCAACGACUCAAGCUCAUGGCUUUCGAUAUGCUCGAAGCCACCGUAAACGGAACGGUCCAAGCUUUCCAGAUGUGGCAGAGAAAAGGUGCAAAUCCAGCAGGUAAGUUGCUGGGCACUGCGGUCGCGGGGGCAGGAGGAACCUCCACAGAAUGGCUCGUGCCCUCCGAGAUGUGCGCAAUGAUCAACGUUGUUCUCGAGACGCGGAGUCAGUCGUUGAAGCUGUGUACGGUCGAUGGCGCCGACAUUCAUCAAUACCAUGCCAAAAUCGAUCAGUUGUGCGACGGCGCUAUGCAAGAUAUGCAAGGAGGGCUACUGGCCAAGCUGGACUCGAUCAUGGAAUCGACGCUAUCCAAGUUAUCACGCUACGAUGAAGGAAGUCUCCUCGCCCCUAUUCUAUCUCUUACGUAUCGACAAGGCAUGUCAAGUUCAGGCAAAGAAGUAGGACAAUGCUACGUGAACUUCGUGCGGAACAGCAUGGAGCAGCUACGGCAAAAAGUCUCGGAUGAACUAUGGGUGCUUAACCUAUUCGAGCUGUGGUACUCGUCACAGAUGAGUAUGCUGUGCGCAUGGCUCUCGGAACGGAUGGAACACGGCCUCCAUUCACUUCAGCUGUCUGCGCUGCUUCAAAUCGCCCGCAAGCUCUACUCCGACUUCGAGCUACAGGGAAUCGAGGAGGAGAAGCUCAACUCGAAGACGUACCAGACGAUAUGCUCGCGCUUACAAUUAGAAGAGGCAGCCGCCUCUGUACAGGACGUCGCCAGGGAAAAGGACGAUGCCGAGGACUUCACCGGGGAAAACGCUGGCAGGCCAACGACGACGAAUGCCGCGGCGAGCAGCGACCUUCCAGGUGGUCAGGGUUCCCCGCUUAAUAGAGUCCAGAACGUCACCCAAAAUCUCACUGGAAGAGUUUCGGCACUUACCCGUGGUGUGGGUGGUCUUGCGAACAAGUUUUCUAGACUCGGCGGGUUCUUUUGAUGGCAUCCUGUCCCAUUCCCAGACGCGAGCGCCUCUAGUUGCUACUGCUAUUACAACAGCGAUUUCUUCUGCAAUUAUGGAGAUGCUGAUAUAGCGGAAAUCGAGAUAAAGAGAGGAUUCACGAACAAAUCACUCACAACAUGUUGGUGGUAUGAAUCAUGCUACUGGUUCAACAUAGAACUAUCGUCGGCAAUCUUGACCACGGGUCGACAAUCGUCUCUAGUUCAGCUACGAUUAAAUAUUGUUGCUUCAUUGAGCUGAAUAACUAAUGAGGUCCAUAGGGGUGCUCGGUAUGGCCUGCUAUUGCUCGGGCAACUCGAGUACGCGACGAAAUUUCAACAUUGAACUAAUAUGUCUUUGGUGGCUCCGUAGCGUAGUGGGAAAAGUUGACAUUUGCAUAUGUUACUCAUUCGCUUAUAGACGAAACGAAACAUUUCGAAGAUGGGUGCGCCAAAAAAGAACUGUUAAUAGUAAUUUAUUUUAUGGUAGUUAAGAACGAGAGAGUUAUAUAUUCAUAGAAAGCGGAAAGCACAAAAGCAAACUCUAGAGGACCGCGAACUCUCGGAUUAUAAAAGCAAUGAAUAGUCAGACCGGCUUCGUCGGUCGACUUUUUGCCUCAAAGGUUGUUAGUGUAAGCCGAUCGCCUUAAUUUCGACCAUUGGGAAAGCAUCGAGAUGCAAAUAAUUGUUCUCUAAACUAAUUGUUCUCUGUUACAAAUUAUCAUGUCUACCAGACAACAAUACGUAUUACGAAUAAAAGUGACAGUUAGCCAUCUUGAAUACGCGCCGGCCGUUCAAGACCAAAACGAUGUUCUUGUAAACAACAACGGAACGUGCACGUUCGCUUCGGGUGGCCGUCGUGCGAACGGAAGAGAUCGUCUACUUGGCUGGUGAUCACUAGAGCCACUGGGCCAACUUAUCUUGGUCAUCAAACCGGAUAACUCAAAGCCACUGCGUCAUUGCACGGAACUGUCCUACUAAAUAUUCGUACAUUGUGUCGAAUGUAUUGUCGCUUCGUUCAGCUUCUAUCGGCUAUACUGCGUACGCUGGUCAACACCCUGUUCUGCUUCGAAUACCGGUACGGGUUCAUCUAACUAAAAUGCUGAAGUCAACUUUAUCGACAAAACGUGACACUAACAUCAAUACUGACUACGCUGAUUUCACGGAAGACCAACGCCGAGAAGUAUUAUGGCUAGAUCCUUCCCGAAGAAGAUAAUUAAAAUAUCGAUGCUUCUAACUAUACUUCUGCUAAUACACUUGACUCUAAUAAAUAAAGCGGAUUAAGCUAUUCUAGCACGAGCAUAUCGGACGCUCGUGGUUCGAAAAAAUCACCCACGAUUAGUAAAGAGGUCUAGCAGUUGUUGACGAUAGUACACGCACAGCUUAACAAAGCAGAGAAUCAAACAAAAAACUAUACAAAAAAUCGAAAUAUAAUGUAAACUUAAAGGGGGCAACCCCCGACAAAACAAGAAGCUAACGGACAUUUUUUUAAAUCAUGAUCAUUAUACGGAAAGGCAGCGAAACAGACGCCACCGCUAGAAUUUGCCAUGCCUUAACGCCAAGCAACAGGACACGCCGAUCGAUCAGCAGCCCCUGAGGGCAUUCGGAGAUAGAAACUACAACAGCGAACACAACACCAGCUGCAAUUACAAGAAAACAGACAUUAUAUAUACAUAUAUAUAUAUAUAUAUAUAUAUAUAUAUAUAUAUUAGAAAACGUACGUUAUAAUAAAAAUAACAACGACAAGGACAGACUCAUGUAUGUGGUGUACUGCUAUUUCUACGUGAGACAAACGCUAUUUGUCGCAGAGUUGACAUAGCGGAAAUGACGGCAUGUACGCAUUACACAAUGACAUAAAACGACAUUAAAUGGAAUCGCGUUCGGGCAAGCUAAAUAUUAUUUGGAAACAUGAGCUCGAUAAAACACGAGGCAAGAUAUAUAAGGGAAAUAAGGAAACGGUGAAUUACGUUACGGUGAAACGGAGCUGACUUUAUACACUGGAAGCUCUUAAUAUGCUCUUGUACCAAAUGCAAAGGUUCCUACCCAAAUAUAACAAGCAGCGUGUGAACGAAUAUGUUUGAACGAUUCGAUUGAUGGUACGACCAUUGCUGCUAAGAAAUGGCACGAGAGAAAAAGAUUUGAUAUUCCAAACAAACCUAGUAGAGAUGUGGGAACACGCAACGUCGAUACCUAAACCUUGUCUGCACAGUUUUACGGGACUACAAAUAUACAUAUAAUAGUUGGAAAGAAAAUUACCGCAUCACUUGGCUACAAAUGAAAAUAUAAACAGAGACAAGGUGAUCAGGUGGAAGAUCUAUUAUUGGAAUCAACUGUAUUAUUACUAAUAGAUUAUAUAUAUACCAUAACAUAGCAAGUGGCUAUACACGUAAAUAAAUAAACCC